GGCCGCGGGAAUUCGAUUAGAGUUUGAUCCUGGCUCAGGAUGAACGCUGGCGGCGUGCCUAAUACAUGCAAGUCGAGCGAACUGAUUAGAAGCUUGCUUCUAUGACGUUAGCGGCGGACGGGUGAGUAACACGUGGGCAACCUGCCUGUAAGACUGGGAUAACUUCGGGAAACCGAAGCUAAUACCGGAUAGGACCUUCUCCUUCAUGGGAGAUGAUUGAAAGAUGGUUUCGGCUAUCACUUACAGAUGGGCCCGCGGUGCAUUAGCUAGUUGGUGAGGUAACGGCUCACCAAGGCAACGAUGCAUAGCCGACCUGAGAGGGUGAUCGGCCACACUGGGACUGAGACACGGCCCAGACUCCUACGGGAGGCAGCAGGAGGGAAUCUUCCGCAAUGGACGAAAGUCUGACGGAGCCACGCCGCGUGAGUGAUGAAGGGCUUUCGGGUCGUAAAACUCUGGUGUUCGGGAAGAACAAGUACGACAGGUCCUGCUCGUACCUGGACGGGACGCACCGGAGUGCCGCGGCUCCCUACGUGCCUCAGGCGCCGGGGUUCCCUGGGGGCCCCCCUGCCCGGGAAGAUGGGGCGUCACGGCCCGGCGGGCGGUUUCUGACGCGUGGGGUGAGGGCGCCGGCGCGGACGGGAGGCGGCUGAGGGCACUGGGGGAACCGCGGGGAGGGCUCAAACACCGCCUAUCCGCGGCGUGAAGGGGGUGUUUGGUGGCCUGGGGGAGCUUGAGCUGGGGCCCGGGGUCGGGCCUGCGGGUGGCCCGCUGGCGUGGGUGGCGGGGGCGUGCUGCCGGGGGUGCCGGGCGAGGACCGGAGGGUCGCGGCGCGAGCGGGGGGGGUGGGACG
rnacentral:rRNA from 1 species